AUGAAGUGAGGACUUUGGAAGGAAGAGUGGCAACAGAAAAGGAAGGAAGGAGGGAGAAUGGGAGAUCUCCCAUCAACAUGGAUUGAAAAGCAGUCUUAGGCAAAUAUCGAACUGGAUUCUGAAUCUUUUCAUAGAUAGCUUCAGUCCUUCUGGAUAAGAUCUUACUGCAAAUUCCAUCUUGUCUUUAAUGGAUACUAUCAACAGGAGGAGAUGCUGGCUGCUGUGUGAAGAGUGGAAAGAAAUGGAAGAGGAAUGGGAACAGAGAGAAGAUUUAAGAGGCCAUGGCUAUAGUCAAUGUGAGAGGUGAUGGCAUUGU